ACACCAAUCCCGAAUGCCACUCUCUUUCUCGUUCUCUUUCGUUGCGAAACGAAAAAUCUUAGAAAAGCGAACCGUCCUUUUCACCAGUCGCUUGUAGCACACGCAGGGCGCAAAAACUGACAACGACCAAGAACGUCACAAAAUGUCCAUCACACAAAUCACUCAACAGCACACGGAUCAGUUCGCAAUGAUUGUGGUGCGCUGCCUGCUGACAUCGGGGUUUGGCCGUGCCCGAGGACGACUAUCACUCGCCGCAAAGCGAUUGCACAGCACAGGAUUGACACGAAGGAGCAAAGCUAUCGAAGUAACCAGCAAUUUCGCCUGGAUACAGUGAGGUUUUAGUUUCAUGAGUUUUUUGCUUAGUUUGAAGUACCCUGAUCGUAGCUAAGGUGUUUCAGCGAGAAUUACACCCACUUUAACUCUAUACGCAGAUGUUGGUAGCAAUUGUAUCACAUUAAAGCACUUUCUACACCACAAAGUGGGAAAUGGUGCGAAGAUGAAUAAAGGAAGGUUGAAGUCAA